rnacentral:rRNA from 1 species
CCUACGGGGGGCAGCAGUGAGGAAUAUUGGUCAAUGGACGAGAGUCUGAACCAGCCAAGUCGCGUGAGUGAAGAAGGUUUUCGGAUUGUAAAGCUCUUUCGGAUGUGACGAUGAUUACGGUAGCAUCUCAAGACGCCCCGGCUAACUUCGUGCCAGCAGCCGCGGUAAUACGAAGGGGGCAAGCGUUGUUCGGAAUUACUGGGCGUAAAGGGAGUGUAGGCGGUUUAGUAAGAUAGUGGUGAAAUCCCAGGGCUUAACUUUGGAAUUGCCAUUAUAACUAUUAGACUAGAAUUACAGAGAGGAUAGUGGAAUACCCAGUGUAGAGGUGAAAUGCGUAGAUAUUGGGUAGAACACCAGUGGCGAAGGCGACAAUCUGGCUGUAAAUUGACGCUGAGGCUCGAAAGCAUGGGGAUCAAACAGGAUUAGAUACCCGAGUAGUC